CCUGCUUGUUUGGCGCUAAGGUGGGCCCUGACCAAUCAUCAUACACUGGCACCUAAAGGGUGUUUCACCAUUCAAUUCACUGUUGAUUCACAGCUGAUGUCACAGUGGGUUCCCAUGGCAACAUUGAUGUCUUUAGACCACCCAUGUGGAAGCCUGCAGCUGAUGUCACAAUGGGUUCCCAUGGCAACACUGAUGUCACAAUACCAGCUGUGUGUGCGUAACUGUUACAACUUGGGGAAACACUUCAGAUUGCUUUUUAGAGCAGAAACGUAACGACCAUCUACCACAAUGGCGCCCAGAUUCUGUGAUUGUAUCCUGGACUGUGUGAGAGGUGUCUGCGCACCGUUCAGGUACAAGAAGAAGAAGCCUGGAAAGUUUGCCCAUAUGGAGACGGUCGUUUACGUGGCAAAGGACGAAUCCAUAACUUUUCUCCCAACGGGGACUAGUUAUUAGGAUUCGUAGGUAAGUAGUUAGGUAAGUAAUUAGGUUAGGCUUAAAAAAAAAAAAAAAAAAAAAAAACACCAAAAAAAAAAAAAC